GAUGAACGCUAUCUACAGGCUUAACACAUGCAAGUCGAGGGGCAUCAGGAAGAAAGCUUGCUUUCUUUGCUGGCGACCGGCGCACGGGUGAGUAACACGUAUCCAACCUGCCCUUUACUCGGGGAUAGCCUUUCGAAAGAAAGAUUAAUACCCGAUAGCAUAAUGAUUCCGCAUGGUUUCAUUAUUAAAGGAUUCCGGUAAAGGAUGGGGAUGCGUUCCAUUAGGUUGUUGGUGAGGUAACGGCCCACCAAGCCUUCGAUGGAUAGGGGUUCUGAGAGGAAGGUCCCCCACAUUGGAACUGAGACACGGUCCAAACUCCUACGGGAGGCAGCAGUGAGGAAUAUUGGUCAAUGGGCGCUAGCCUGAACCAGCCAAGUAGCGUGAAGGAUGAAGGCUCUAUGGGUCGUAAACUUCUUUUAUAUAAGAAUAAAGUGCAGUAUGUAUACUGUUUUGUAUGUAUUAUAUGAAUAAGGAUCGGCUAACUCCGUGCCAGCAGCCGCGGUAAUACGGAGGAUCCGAGCGUUAUCCGGAUUUAUUGGGUUUAAAGGGAGCGUAGGUGGACUGGUAAGUCAGUUGUGAAAGUUUGCGGCUCAACCGUAAAAUUGCAGUUGAUACUGUCAGUCUUGAGUACAGUAGAGGUGGGCGGAAUUCGUGGUGUAGCGGUGAAAUGCUUAGAUAUCACGAAGAACUCCGAUUGCGAAGGCAGCUCACUGGACUGCAACUGACACUGAUGCUCGAAAGUGUGGGUAUCAAACAGGAUUAGAUACCCUGGUAGUCCACACAGUAAACGAUGAAUACUCGCUGUUUGCGAUAUACAGUAAGCGGCCAAGCGAAAGCAUUAAGUAUUCCACCUGGGGAGUACGCCGGCAACGGUGAAACUCAAAGGAAUUGACGGGGGCCCGCACAAGCGGAGGAACAUGUGGUUUAAUUCGAUGAUACGCGAGGAACCUUACCCGGGCUUAAAUUGCAGUGGAAUGAUGUGGAAACAUGUCAGUGAGCAAUCACCGCUGUGAAGGUGCUGCAUGGUUGUCGUCAGCUCGUGCCGUGAGGUGUCGGCUUAAGUGCCAUAACGAGCGCAACCCUUAUCUUUAGUUACUAACAGGUUAUGCUGAGGACUCUAGAGAGACUGCCGUCGUAAGAUGUGAGGAAGGUGGGGAUGACGUCAAAUCAGCACGGCCCUUACGUCCGGGGCUACACACGUGUUACAAUGGGGGGUACAGAAGGCAGCUAGCGGGUGACCGUAUGCUAAUCCCAAAAUCCUCUCUCAGUUCGGAUCGAAGUCUGCAACCCGACUUCGUGAAGCUGGAUUCGCUAGUAAUCGCGCAUCAGCCACGGCGCGGUGAAUACGUUCCCGGGCCUUGUACACACCGCCCGUCAAGCCAUGGGAGCCGGGGGUACCUGAAGUACGUAACCGCAAGGACCGUCCUAGGGUAAAACUGGUGACUGGGGCUAAGUCAUA
rnacentral:rRNA from 1 species